GGAAAAGACGCUCAAGAUCAUCAAGUCCAAUCGUUAACCCAACACUGGUGCUAAACCAUGUCCCUGAGAACCUCAUCUAUGUGUCUUUUAAACACCUCCAGGGAUGGUGACUCCACCACUGCCCUGGGCGGCCUGUUCAAUGCAAUUGGAUAUUGUUCUCAAUAUCCAAUCUGAACCUCCACUGAUGCAAUUUGAGGCCAUUUCCUCUUGUCCUAUUGCUUGUUACUUGGGACAAGAGACCAACAACCUCCAUGCUACAACCUCCUUUCAGGUAGUUGUAGAGAGCAAUAAGGUCUCCCCUCAGCCUCCUGUUCUCCAGGCUAAACAGACCCAGAUCCCCCAGCUGCUCCUCAUCAGAUUUGUGCUCCAGACCCUUCACCAACUUUGUUGCUCUCCUCUGAACUCGCUCCAGCACCCCAAGGUCUUUCUUGUCAUGAGGGACCCAAAACUGAACACAGGGUUCAAGGUUUGGCCUCACCAGUGCCCAGUCUAGAGGGACGAUGCCUUCCCUGGUCCUGCUGGCCACACUAGUCUGGUACAAGCCGGGAUGCUGUCGGCCUUUUAAGUCACCUGGGCGCUAGCUCCUUGUUGAGGCUACCCUCCCUUCCAACCCUAACCAUUCUGUGAUUCUGUGAAGAAAAAAUGAGAAAAUGAAGAGGCCACAUUCGUUCUUGUCCAACCUGGCUACUGUCAUGAUAUAGGAGCAUACUGUCUGCUUUGGUAAUUAAAACACUACUUGCAAGGGAUACCAGAAGAACAAAGGAAUGAAAAUAAGAUGGUUUCUCUUGAGUGUGAAUGUGCCAUGCAUGCAUCACACAAGCUAUGCAGGCUUUAGGCUUGCCUUUCAACAGCCCUGCCAUUCCAGGAUGGGCCUCUUUCCUGAACAGACACUGUCUGUUGAGCCAAACUAUAUGACUGUUUUGUGAUAUGGAUAAAUGUGGGGACUAAAUGAAGGACAUUAAACUCAAUUUCCUGAAGACAUGAGCCAGAUUUUAAUAUUGCAGCUGUCCAGAGGUGAAAGGGUAAUGAGGACAUGAGGAAUUCCUGGAUGGCAAAGGGACACUUGGCCCAACAAGUCUGUCCCCCUUCAAGUUUAUUACAACACACCUCCCUGCAUUGUCGAUAUAUCCUCCAGUCCUAUCUGUCUAUAUAAACAUGUCUGGCUAUCUCUUCUGCUCAUUAAUACUUCGGUUCACUCAGUGGUUUUAUUUAACAUAAUUCCUGCUACACUGUGAAUAGGAUAGCUCUACGUGAAUUUACUGUUUAUUCUUAGACCUUUCAUUUUUAAUUGGCCUUUUUUAUUUUUUUCCUUUUUAAACUCACCAGAUACAACCACUACUUCAGUUUUCAUCCUAAUUAUGAAAAUGUUAAUGUUUAGGUCUUUUUUAGAAAGGAUUAAGCUCAGCCUUCAUUUAUAUCAAGCAUCUUUAACAGCCAGAAACAACGAUUGCUUCAUAUCUUAUUCCUAUUUGAGUCACUGAAGUUCUUCUCUGGAAAAGGUGAUCAAAAUUGGAAUUAUUGGAGAAAAUCUAUCACGUUCCUUGUGUGAUAACAGUCCUUUUGAUUUUCGGGCUAUCCUUUGCUGGAGUGUCCAUACCACACUUUAUUUAUUCUGAAUUGGCAUUCAUUCAAAAUUGAUGUUUGACAGAUUCAGUACAAUUUUUAAGGUGGAGCGGGAGUUUCCGUAGUCAAGUAUUAACUUAAAAUGAUCUCCUAAAGUCAAGAAACAGCUUUGAAGGCUGGUGGAAGGAAAAAAGAAACCCAAGAAAUCAGUAACAUUACAAAUAUUUCUAACUAUUAGCUCAUCUUCAUUUAUUAAAGACUAUCUCCCUUUAAAUUUUCUGCUAGCAAAGUUGAGAGCAAAUUAGCAUACAGAUGCUUCCUCAGAAGGCCAACAUGUUAAAAAACCUGGGUUUUUCCCUUCCUCUGAGGCAACCCAAAGGAGAAUGUCAUUAAAGAUCUGAGUAUAAUCAUAGCAAGAGAAAUACAAGUUGCAAAUAAACCUGCGUGAUUUUGAAAUUUCAAAGAUGGCUGGUAGAACAAAAAUAUCUGCGUGAAGUAUGAAGUGGGAAACAGGCAAAAUAGAUUGCUGCAACACGAGGUCAAGAAGAGACUCUUAAAUUUGUUAUUUAAGUGUGUUGAAAUAGCAGAAUAAUUGUUUACAAUUAUUUCUGAUAUCUAGCUAUGCUCUCUUGUUUAAGUAAGCAACUUGCUUCUACAAUGAAUAGAAGGUUUGAUUUAAAAAAAACCCCACAAACCCUAUUUAUAUAUUUAUUACAAUUUUCCCCUGCAAAAAAAGGCACUGCUGGCAGAGAUUGUUUAGGGGAAGACAUUCUGCAACCUGUUGAGAAACACUGGGGUUUUUAUUCAGGAACUAAGAUGGUAGCACUGGGUGGAGAGGGAACGUUGAGAAACGUGGAAACAGAAGAAAAAUAAGAAAUCUCUUGGUUUCAGGCAGGUGAAGAAACAGUUCUUAUGGAGGGGAAAAGAUGGGCAUGUAGCUGGUAGAAAGAAAACAAAUCAGUGUACAGUAUCAAAUAGGUACAGAAAAAAUCAGAUUUAUAUCCAGGAUCCUCAGUGAAUAAGAAAAACAUGUCAAAGUCUCAAAAAAAUUUACUUUUGCAUUUGGAGGACUGAAUCCAACUUUACCAAGUAGCUGGUAAUCCAAAGAGGGACUGAGAAUCCUCUUUGGGCCUGGGCAGGAUUGCUCUGGGCAACAGGGGAUGUAGAAGACAUUUGCCAUGGCACCUGUUGGAUUGUGAACAGCCAUGGCUUAAAUCCUUGUUUGUUUCAUUCCUAGUCUAAACAUGCUGUUUUGCAAAAGUUAAAAAUAAUGUAGUGACUACCACAAUGUCAGACAGCUCUUUUGUGAGGGUCCUUGCAUAAAGAUAAUAAAGAGAAUAAUUGGUAAAAAAUCUACCAUAGUAAACUGAAAUUUUAAUCUUUGUACAUUUUUGGUAAAUGUUUAUGAGGGCAAAUCUUGUUGGUCUUGCUGCUGGAAUAUGCUCCAUUAAAAUAAUGUUGCAUUAAACCCACCGAGUUUGGCUGUAGCGUUGGACAAGUUUUUUUGGGUAAUGUAGAUGUGAAGGUUGAGAAAAGUAAAGAGCUGCAGUGAGCACAGCCCAUUCUUAACUGCUGUCACAUUUUAUUUAAAUAUCUGGUGAAAUUCUGUGUAGUUACCAUCAGGGAUAAAACAACUGCCAAAAAGCCUUUAGUUAAAUAACCUCAGAUGCUGGAGUGGGUCCGUUCAGCCCUGUUUAGCAACUUUUUAAAUUUCAUUUUAUUUUUUAAUCAACAUUUAUCAGAGGACAUACACUUCUACCAGGUGAAGGACCUAGACAAUGGGCUUCGGACUCCUGGUCUUUCUUUUUUUGCAUCUGUGCGACUUUUCUUUCAUGAACCCAUGUCCAUGUCCAUGAGUGUGUCACAAAUCCCACUGGGAAUGAGGCCAAGAGUCCCAGUGAGCAUAUUCACUUUUCUCUAGGUCCCUAAAACCCCUCCAGGCUUUAGGAGAAGCAGGUCCAUUUUCAAGGAGCACAAGGAAAGUAAAUACAAAGUGUGUUUCUCAGUGAGGAGAUACUGUUGUAAAUGGGAUUUAGGAGCCAUAAUCUCUUUGAUGUUUCUGAAAAAGCAUCAAGAGAGUUGUAAAGGUUCUCCAGUGCAGACCUGAGCUGUGGCAGCAUGGAAAUGAGCCCUGAGGCUUUUGUCCUGUCCCCUGGUCUACUGGUUGUACUGAAGUAGUCUGGACAGGUCUGUCACCCUUGGGGCAGAAAGAGACCGGCAGCACUUCAGAACUACAUGGGGCUUGGGGUCAAGGGAAACAGGAUUAGCUUUGUUAUCCAACUGUUACAGUAAAAGCAUAAGGUAGCCAUCCCUGAGAUAGAAAGUCUUACCCAAACACUCAUCCGUUAAAUUAGGAUUAAAAAAAAAAAAAGUGUUGUGGGGUUUUGUGUGGGGUUUUUUUGUUUGUUUGUGUUUUUGUGUGCAUGUGCAUUUUUGUUUUGUUUUGUUUGUUUGUUUAAUUUCAGAAGACUUCGUAAUCUCCUCUAAACUUCCCAUCUCCUAAGGAUUAAAAAGCUCAAAGCAUCCUCUUGUCUAUUCCUUCCCUUUCCCUCCCGAGCUCCUCCCUUCUCUCCAAGCAGCACCUGGGUCUCCCUCUUCCCUUUGUGUAGAACCCUCCAUCAUUUCUUCCCAUCCUCUGCUCACAUGGAUCACAUUUUCCCAUUUACCAUGGCAUCUGAAAAACCUGUUUACUUUGCUCCAUCUGCUCUGUGCUCCAGCACAGCAGCAAGGUCCUGGCAGUGCUGGAUGCUGCAUUUGGUGAUCUGGAUCUUGCAUUUAUAACUGGGGUUAGACAAGAGUUGCCAGAGCCCCUGUAACUUCUACGUCCCCGGCACAUUUUGCUACGUUACCUUUGAUAUUCGGAUUUAAUUCUUUUACAUAGAUUAGAGACAAGACAAGCUCCUAACCUGACCAAAGCACUAUCCUGUAUUGACUGCCAAUCUCUAAGUCAUUCAGUGAAUGUUGUUUGCAGACCGUUAUCAGUUCAUUAAAGUUUGUUAUCAUUUAUGCAGUGGCCCUGUACCUUGCUGGUAAUCUCCAGUAUAGGAUCUUAUCAAACACUCUUUUGAAAGUCUAGACAUAUUGUAUAGCAUCUAUAGUAUUUUUCUUGUCUACCUUAGGAGGAAUAUCUUUGAAGAAUUCUAACAAAUUAUUUGAGCAAGGUUUCCUGCUCAUAAAUCUGCAGUGGUUGACUCUACUCAAGUUAGAAUUUGCAGCACAUUUCCUCACAAAAUCCUGCAAAAUCAUUCAUUCCUAUUCUAUUUGUCAUAGCUACAAAUUUUGUUAUGUUAAUUUGUUUAUAUUAUGAUUUUAUAUGUAUGUAUGAUUUUAUAUGUAUGUAUUCCUCUGCAUAUGUACACAAAAGUGCGUAUAUGUAACAGAGACUGUAUUGAAGUAUAUUGGGCUUUAAAGCUGAAUAUCUUUAAAUAGUUAAUGCAGUAUAAAAUGCAAAGGAUACAGUUAGGGACAGAUAUUUGGCUGGAGUAAAUGAAUUUGACUUUGAAUACAUUUUACUAACUUAAACGGUGUUAACUUGAUUUGUGUGAGCUGAGGAGUUAACCCUUAUGCACUGCAUUUUUUUUACUUCAGCACCAAGAGAUCAAAAUGACUGUUGGGAUAUUUCUUACCAUUUCUGAUUUAUUAUUUCUCAUGGAUUUCUUCAAGAACUGUAUUUUUAUUUGCUGCAGCAAAGAUAAUUCUUAAUGUUUUCUUAAAUUUUAUAUAUUUCUGUAAUAUUUUGUUUCAGAUUAGUGAUUUCUUAUGCUUUAUUUUUCCAUUAUUUGACUAUUUUAGGAUGUUUGUUAUCCUUCCUGUCUUUCUGUUCACAUGUGUAGGUCUUCCUAUUACAAUGAUGAACGUGGCAAUUUCUGGUAAAUACAGGAUGGUGACUCCACCACUGCCCUGGGCAGCUGUUCCAAUGCCUGACAGCCCUUUCCAGGAAGAAAUUUUUCCUGAUAUCCAAUCUAAACCUCCCCUGGUGCAACAACGGAGAAGAAAUUGCACGAAGCACAGCAUCAGCUACUGGUUCUCACUUUCACAUGAUAAGUUGGUGAUGAAAGUGUGUCCCGUCAAUUUUAACAUUGUCUAAAGGAGCCCUAAACCAUGAAGACACCGGCUUCUUCAAACUUCAGUGGUUGCUGCCCACUCCUCUUGACAGAGCUCUCCUAUCUUGGGGGAGAACUGGAUUUUAAGUACCUGCUCCCAGCAGCUGGAAACAAGGAAAAUGUCCAGGACUACUGUGCUACUCAUCUCUCUGCAAACUAUCAGCGACAACUCCACAGGCAAAGCCGGGGAUGAACUGUUUUAUGUAAUAAAUGUUUGGAUACAUUUUCAAGUAAGGCUUUUUGUAGCAUCCUAAACAGAAGGAUAUUGAAGGGAGCUGAUUCUGCUUUGAUCCUUAUGCUUGUUGUCAAAGCGCUUGGGAUUGAAGAGACUGUUGGCUACAAUUGACUGUGACAAUUAGGAGAUGAUCAGAGCCCUAGAGUGGAGCACUUAAAGGGUUUGCAUUUCAAGGACUCUCAGAGAACUAAUUGUGCCAAAUUCUAGUAACUGCACAUUCUCUUGCUGGAAAGGCUCUAGAAUCACCAAAGCAAAACCAUGGGCUUCUGAAUAGACAUGUACCAGAAAAAGUGCCAAGAACCCCCAGAUUCAGGGCUCUCCGGCUGCUCUUCGUGUGCCGGGGAUGCGGCCCCGGGCGAGCAGAGGCAGCACCCGCUCCCGCUGUGCUCGCAUCAGCCACCGGUGCCUCUCGCCCAAGUGGCAUAAAUGAGCUCAGGACGCCCCUUUGGAGGUCCAAUGGGAGGAGAAGUGAAUCAUGGUGUUGCAGGAGCUGAAAUGCUGAAUGAGAAGAAAAGAAGGGGUGGCAAGUACCUGUUUUGGAAAUAUCUUGUUUGGAUGACACCUAGGUAACAUCAGAGACACCUUUCCCGGGUGGGAGCUCUAAGGCAGAUCAGAGUUGCUGUGGUAACAUCAGUUUCCUGAGUUUCCUUUCUGCACAUGCAUUUAAGUGGGUGACUUUGAAAGAAAAGAGUUGUUCUGUGUGUGCAGUACACCUUCAUGAUUUUUCCCCCCCCUCAUUCCUCAGUUUUUGCUGUUUCACAAGCCUGAAACAAUAGCAGUGGAAACACAAAUAUCCCUUGACUGAUGGUAAGGAAAUAGGUGAGGGUGUGGAAGAGCCUUAGAAUUAAAAAACUGAUGUAAAAGAAGAAAAAAACAUCCCUUGAAUUUGUUUUUGUGAGCAGUGCUAGUUGCCUUGCCAGUCUGAAGCUGGCACUGUGGGUUUGCUGUAAUCACUGAGCUGAGAAAAAGAGACACGGGUUUUGUUUAUUUGUUUGUCAUCAUGGAGUUGAGCAGGACUUAAGCAGUUGAAUGCACAACACUUUUCUCUGCUUUCAUCCUCUUCUCUCUGAUUCUGGAUUCCACAUAAAUUCCCCUCGAUUCCUCCAAUCUGUUUUUUGACCUUCCUUAAGAAUUCAGAUUUAUAUAUAUCACAUGUGAAUAUCAGCUUGGGAAGUGUGCCUUUUUGGUUUUAAAAAUGAAUCGUGAUAAAAAUCAAUUGCAUGUGGGACUUGGAGUGCUUCGCCUGAGUGUCAUUGCCCACGGGAGACCAUGUGUGUUUGUUGCUUUGCUUUGGGGUCAUCCAAGCAGUAACCCUUGUUCUGGCCAGUUGUCAGGUCUAUAGACAGGAUGGCAUCUUAGAUUUGUUGUGGGACAACGUGGCCCAUGGGCAAAUGCCAAGGACUUGAAUCCUGGACACGGUGCAAUGUGCUGCAGCAUCAAGUGUAGACCUUUGGGUUUCAACCAGAAGUUGUUCGAAGGUUAAGAGAAGGAAAUUACACAGUUGAGAGGAAGGAAUAUUGUAAUCAAACAAGAUGGCACAGAACAAUGCCAAGGAAAAAAAAACAUUCCUUUAGUCAACCAAUCCUGACUAGUGCACUUCAUCACCGAAGCCAAUAAUCCUCUUUCUCUUGGAGAGCAGCUUCAAAAGGCCUGUGCUAUCCAAUAUUUUGAAUGCAGCUGACUGAAGAUCAAAUACUGGGACCACAGCACCUUUCUUUCGCUUUGGGAGCAGAGUUUCUGCCUUGCUAGGGUUCUCUGGAUGGAAGGUGGCACCUCCUGCUCAGCAUCCUCCCAGCACUGUGCACUCACUGCUGGCCACAGCCCUGGUUGUAAAGCCUGUGCUAGAGGCAAGGAAAGGGAUGGAAAGCCAUGUGGUGGAAAUAUGUUGCACUCUAGCUUUCCUUGGCUUGCAGAUGGCAAAUUCAUGACUAGAACAAGCUAGCUGGAGCAGCACAAAGGCUGCUGUAAUGUUCUCUCAAAGCUAACCUUUAGGCACACCAGUUAAUGUUUGCCAUGAGCUUGCUAAUUUGCUUGAUGGUUUCUGAGGUCGGAGGAGGUAGCUUUAGCAGUAUGAGUUAUGGAUCUCCCUGUGACUGCAAAUCACACCUUCAGUGAGCCAUUUUCUGUAUUUGUCUCGUACUUUCAGAUCCUGAGCUGGCAAAAUAUAGAGUGAAGUGUGUCAGUCAAGUUGUUGAUUAGCCUUUUCUGUUUACAAACCAAGGCUUCACAAUUUUGACAUGAAGAUGAAAAGAUACCACUUUUUGGACCCCAUGCCCCUGCCUAUGUUACAGUUGCAGCCGAGAGUCUUGCUCUGGCUCACUUUCCAGCUGACUCUUCUGGGAGAAAGGAGGAAGUCUUGAGCUGUGUCGUAUCCCACAGCAGCAGGGAUGAGCAUCACACACCAUCAGGGUUGGGCUGGCAUGAUUAGUGCAGGACAGCACAGCCAGAUGCAACAAUGAGGGUGGGCUGGUGUGUUAUUGGAAGGAGCCCCAGUUACCGUGGCCUUUCCAAAUUCCUGAUGCUCUGGAGUUCUGGCUGCAUGAGAACUUUGCCUGAUCUGCUAGCUAUGCAGUCAACAGAAUGUUCCAGGAAAGCUUGUAUACUUGAAACAAAAACGCUUUGUGCUAGAAACAGGUUAGCUCUGGCAGCAGGGUGUCUCCAGCACCCUUAUACCACAUAUUUCUUAUUUGCAACCCUGCUGUUUUCUCCUUCUCCUUCUCCUUAAUAACUUAACCUUGUUGUCUACUGUGCAGUAUACACAGACUUCCACCAGGUUUCCCUUCUGUGGCACUGGAUGAGAUGCUGGCUAGACCAGACUGUUCCUUAGGAAGAUACAGACAGUCUCAUCUCUAGGGAAACUCUCCAGAAUUACCCACCUAGCUGGACUAUGUGCCUUGACACAUCUGUGAGUCAAUGUGGUGGUGAUACAUUCUGCCAGAUGCUUCCAAAAAAAGGGUUGCCCUGACCCAGAAGUUUUGGUAGUCAUCUCUCUGACAUAGGCCUUAGCCAUCUUUCCGUAGGGCAGUCCCAUGGAGAUUGCAUAUGAGCCAGCAUGAAGCACUCACUCUUUUAAACUGGUUCUUUCACAGCUAAUGCUUAUUCUGACUGGGAUGUCCCAGGCCAUGGUGAUUUCAUGCUGUUGUUUCCAUAGUCAGACAGUGUUUGCAUCCAAGUGUACUACCCCACCAACUGCAAGGAUGUGAGCGUCUGGUGUUCCCUAUAUCAGCCCCUUGCACCUUAGGUUCGCAGCCAAGCCAGUCAUCCUUAUUAAUAGAGGGCUGGAUUUCUGCGGUGAGACGUUGAGGUUAGGUGUCACAGGGUGCAGCCUGGCGAUAAGGGCGUGAUGUCUGCUGUGUUGGAGGACUGGUAGUGAAAGCUCAAGGCAAGUCCAGCCUGGACACAAACGUGGUUAUAGGACUCAUCCUUCCAGGCUCCUCCAAGGUCAAGGGGUAUAUCUGACUCAAGAGGGCAGGUCAUCUGGUGUAUUGGGCUCUCAGCACCGCACUAUCCAGGGGUGGCCAAGCACAAGGGAAGGCAAUCACACAUUUUAAGGUGAAGAAGCCUCUUAUUAACCACCCAAAAUGUGUCCUGGGCAGCCCCACCGUUUCCUGCCAGCUCUGGAGAUAAGCCCACAGCAGGUCAGAGCGAGGGAUCACCGUGCCCCGUCUCUGGCCGUGGUAAACAACAGAUGCCUGGGGAGAAGCAGAAGAGCAGGGGAAGCAGAUAGCGACUUUUCCCAAUCCUCCCCAUUUUCAGCAACUGUUUCGUUAAUCUGAUGGAUCAGCCAAGCCCGUGAGCACGACCUGAACUGUGCUGCUUGUGUGUUCCAUGCGGUGACAGACCCACAGACUCGCAGCAUCCUUGCUAGAGUUGCAGCCAUUUAACAGACAUUUAACUCCAAGGGGUGUGCUGUGCUCGCGUUUUUUGUUGUUAAGAUGGACUGAAGUAUUUUAGCUUAAUGCUUAAUGACAUCGGUGUGGAAAGAGAGGAAAAAACAAAACAAACCAAAACAAAGCAACAAAGCAGUUCCUGUGUCAGGACUGUCUCUAAUCAAUGCAAGAGGAGUCAUCUGCUGCCAGGACAUUUAUUAGCUUGUUUUCAGAGGCUUUCCUAAAAACCACCCAUGAAUAUGAAUAAUCAUAUCAAUGGUUAAAAUUAUUAACUGUGUCUUGGGGUUUCUUUUUGUGUGUUGUUUUUCUUCUUUUUUGACUCCCUCCUGGUCGUGAGGCAGCCAUCCCUGCCGGAAACCUCUGCUUUAAAAGAAGGACUCGCUGGGGUGAAAGGAGUGGGUUUCCUAAGCCGUCGGAUCAAAGCAAAACCUCCCAGCCCUACCAGCACACAGGUUUCCUCCCGCUCCCAGGUUCAAGCCACAUGUCCGGACUGGGCAUCCAGCUCCACAACCUCCCAGGACGCCACAUGUGCUCUGAGCUACCUCAGGAUCUCCCACUUGCGUUUUAAUUUUUUAAACUUAAAAAUAAUUUAGCGGCUCUCUGGCCGAGUUAUCUUGCUGUCGCUGCAAUAUAUGCUGCGUGUCGGACUCCCACAGCCAAAAGCCUCUGUUUCCUUUCUGCCAGUACCUUGGUAUCUGCCUUGCCCAGGAGCCUGCUGAUGAAGAUUUCCUGUUUGUUUUGAGUCACUGCUGGAGUGAUAAAUAUACUUCGGCUCUCUCCUCCAAGAGGAAAGAAACCAGCUGCCCCGAACUAAAGGGAAAAAUAUGUCGAAAUUCCACCAAAGGGCCCUGUUAUCAUGAGGCUUGCAUAGAAGGAUGAAACCGGGUAACACGAGCUGCGGCAAAGGCGCUAUUUCCAUAUUAAAAAAGUCCCUCCGUGCGUGGUGACAUGAGUGGUUUGCCUUUAACCGGCUGCGUUGGCUCCAUAACUUUAAUUUUUAAAAUGGGUUAGAAAUAAAUAAAUAAAUAAACAGCCCCCAUAAACUUACACGGUGGAGUAAUGCUUGGCUGGAUAAACAAACAAUUAUACUUGUGGUUUCUUGAUCUGACCACAAGCUUUAAAUGCCAUAUUUUUGCAUGAACCUAUAAUGCUUCUGGAUAAACAAUUGUGUUUAUAUUGUCAGGAGUAUCCAGCGUGGUGUUGUGUAAUUUCUAUGUGUGAUUACUAGGAUAUAGGAUAAAUUCCAAAAGAAAAGAAAGGAAAGGAAGAUUAGAUUAUUAAGUCAUUUUUAAUAAAAACAGCAUAGUUUGGAAUAGCUUAUAGCUUAAUUUGUAAUUUUAAAAGAAUGCAGCACUGGCUUUUAAGUUUCUACAAUUAUCUUUUCAUCUCAUUUUAUCCUUUUCUUUUUUUUUUACUAGAGAUGGGGCCCAACCCAAGACCUUGAAUCUAAACCCAAGAUCCAGGUUCAGAUCUGAGUUCACAGCUCCAGCCUCAUUCCUAAAGAAGCGGAGUCAGGCCAGCGAGCACCAGCACAAGUCGCUUCUGAAUGUCCCAGCCCAGCACAUGGACACCUUUGUGCUUGUCCCUCCACAGCGCCAGCUUGGAUGGUUUCCCAUGGAGGCAACCGAAAUAACCGUGGAUAUCUGAUUGCAUUACCAACGGCUACCAAGGGCAUCUCUGGGGAAAGAGACGUUACUUAAGGCAAUCAGGGGAGCCGCAUUACAGCAGGACUUGCAAAGAUUCGUGUUUGCAUCUAGUGGCUGCAAGUGCAUUAACUCUUUCAUGUGAAUUUCUCUGCAAGUGUCAUGGUUUCUUCUAUGCAGAAUUCAGUGGACCUCCAGAAAACCAUGUUCAAUUCAAGGUGAGUAGGACAAAGGUACAAAAAUCUGCCUUAUACUCAUUUCUUGAAGAUAAAAAGGCUUUCCAUCAUGGAAUUAUAUGAGUAAAGAUAUAUUGGACUGUGUCCUCUUGGAGUAAUUUGUUGUGACUUUAACAAGUAAGCAACAGUCGGCCUGUGGUGAUGUGGCUCAGAUAACAACUGGAUCCACGAACGUUUAAAUCAAGAGUGUAAUUUUUGAAAUAUUAUUAUUUUCCAGAAGAAAUAAAGUAGUCUUACAUUAUUCUUUUUUUUUCUACCAAGAAUGAUAUUUGGUAGGAAUGACAGCCUUUUUUUCCCCUUUCUCUUGAAUGCUGGCGAACACACCACAAUGCUGUGUAUUGUAAUGAGACAGCAGAGAAGAUGACUCCCAUGCUCAUUACUGUUUCAUUACUUGGUGAUCGUGAGAGCUUAUUUCCAUCAGUGCCUGAUUUCUAUAUUAUCAGGAAAAGGGCAAGGUCUUUGAUGUUCUGAAACAUUCUUCAGCAGUACUAGAAAACUACUUGUUUUCUUCCUUUUCAAGGAUACGUCAGUGGUUUAUAAUUGAUCCAUAGCAGAUCUUUCAGAUUUAACCUUAGGUCAUAUAUAAAAUAUUAAAUACGGCCAUUAUAGAGACUAUGCCUUUUUAGAAAACUGUAUGGGUGUUAGCCUUUAUGUCCUAGACAAAUUCCUAUUUGGGUAAUUAAAUUUUGCCUGCUUUCAUUUUCCAUGCAAUUUUAAUUGGCUACAGUAUUUUUCACUUCCAGUGCAAAGUGAUAGUGCAUUGUCCUGUGUUGUAAAGGAGUUAAUAUGUGCUGAGCUAGAGGUUGCUGCCCUUCGGUAGUAAAGUGAAUCUGUUACGUAUGUUUGAAGAAACGAGCACAGAAAAAUGCCUAAUCCUCUUGAAAUAGGGUACAAAAUUUGUCAGAUGUUUUAGCAUGUUGUAAAAGUUUAAAAUUACAUUAGUGGCAUCCAAGUUAUCACAUACGUAUCCUACAAAGCAGAUUUUCAUAGUGUUCAAAUAUUCGGUAUGCAGCUCAUCAGAUUGCAUUUACCACCGCUACAAAAGGGAAAGGAAUCAAUACAUAUGUAAAUGUGACUCUGGUUUAAAGACCUGUUAUUGGUUUUACUUUCACCAUGCUGAAAGACAUUGGAAACUGCAACAGCGGGUUGGCUUCUCUCUGCCACCAGAGCAAAUGGAGCACACGGCUCACCAGAAGAUGAGCACAAUGAAUCAAGGGCUGGUGUGAAUCAUUUGCAGAAGAUCUUGUUCCAUCUUGAGGAGGUACCUAGAGAUGGAACUCAUUUGAGAGGUUUUCCUGCAUGUUGGAAAUCACAUAGAUUGUUUAAACAUUUAUUAUGGAUUAUAUAUCAUGGAUAAAACUUGUUUUUUUUUUUUUUUUUAAAUUAGGCAAUAAGUAUUGCCAUUAGCACUAAGCUUUGUACAAUUUAGGAAAUCUGAGUCAGUUAUCUGAGGCUGUGAGGUCCAUUUUUCUCCAUCUGUAGAAAAUCAUACAGGUCAUCUAGCAUUAUACUUUUUAGUUUUCUCCUCUUGAAGGUAAAACCAGAUCCAAAAUGUUCACCAAGUCUGAAAAAAAGAGCAGACAAAUAACAUAUUCACUAAGUGGCAGUCCUUGAAGUUGUUUACAUUCAUAUAUAUCAAUAAAAUCAAAAGCCGGGUGUUUUUCUUCAUUCUCUCCUUUGUACAAUGUAUUUGUUUCCUUUGAAAAGAUUUGGCACUGGAGAGAAUAAUGAUUGAAAUCCCGAAGCUGACAGAAUUUGACCCUGACAAGGCCUGAGAAAUUUGGCUGAUCACAGCAAAGGAGCGAGACCAAGGGUGAAGUGCAGAAGGGUGUUGCAAGGAUGUGAACCACUCUUGGGUAACCCCAAAAGAUGUUAAUUGCUCCGAGGUGACAUGUCCUCCAUUAAACUUUGCUCACCCUGAUGUAGGGUGUGGAAACCUGGCAAAGGCAAAGAACACGAGGGGGAUUUUGCAUUGGUUUGCUAACAGAUGCCUGAGGGGGAUCAGCAAGGCCCAUGUGGACAGACGUAAGGAUUUAAACCACUUAGGAGAUAAACAGGUAGUAAGAGAAGGAAGAUGUGAGAGAGAACAGAGACCUGCUCUGCUAUCGGUGUGGAGAGCAAAGGUUGCACGCAUUAGGUAGCUGGGGUUAGGGAGAAAUAGUCCUAAAUCACAAAGGAGCCUCAAUGUCUGAUGAAGAGAUUAACUCCCAAGCCUCCAAGAAAGCGCCUGCCCAUGGUGCAGUUAUAAGCAUGAAUUUAUGUUAAAAUGCAGAGUAUUUUGUAGAAUCAAAAUCUCAGGGAAGAAAUUCUUGUGCAUGAAAUACAGAUAGGUGAUCAAUAGGUAAAGUUAUUAAUGAAAAUAUGAUCAGAGAAUAUUUUGCCUUUUAAAUUCAUUAUUAAAUAGCCACAGUGGACUUUUGGUUUGUUUGUGCUGAGGAACCCAAGAGAGAUCCUCCAGAAUAUUUGAGGACAAUCUAUGGGGAUUUUGGCUCCCGUCUGUAGCUUUCCUCUUGGAAUUUAGUUUUCAUGCUUUAAUCUGCGCAUCACUUUAGGUCAUUUAUUAUCUUAUUAAAUGGAGCUCCCUUCACUGCUCCUGCAUCAAGUUUUAUGGGAAUAAACCCACAAAGCAUCAUGAACAAUGCUAUGCUUUGUAGGCUAAAACAAUGCAAAUGCAACUUUUAACCUUGUGUUUAUGAAAAUAACAAGCAUCCUAUUUUUUUAGGUUCGUGUGUAUGUUCCUGCAUGUUAGAUGCUAUUUUAUGGCACAAAGCACCACGAUGGUGAAAUGCCAUGAUGUGGCACAUACCACCCAGCUCCCCAAGAGUGCUCAUGAGAUGACUUGGCUUGGAGAGCAGUCUACAAAGCUGGUGUUGGCCUUUCAAUAUCAAUCGUUCUGUUUACCACCAUAUUUAAGUGAAUGAGGAGAUCUGUAGUCCUCUCCACUGCCCCGUUUCAGCCAGUUGGCUCUUGAAAACCAGCAGCAAAUUGGUCUGUGUUGUCUCCAGGUCAACACUGAUGUGGGAAAGGAUUAGGAACAGUAAAGAGAAAGGGAAGCCCCAUGUCCUUAGGAUACAUCCAUCUUGAGCAUGUUUAGAUGUCGGUUGGGAUCCCUGGUGCUUUGCUAGUGAGGCAUCCCAGGACCCUGUGCUGUAAGUCAUCGCUGUGAGCAUCUCUCCCAUCGAGGAGGAGCAGGACCCGCAUUUGAGCUGUUUCUGGCACUGUUAUCUCACUGGGUAUGGGGAUGGCUGAGAUAUUUGCUGUUGGUAAAGGAUGAGAACUCAGCAGCAGUUUCUCACUACCUUGUUCUUGGUUCCACAAGCCCAGGAACUUGCAAAUUCAGAGAUCUUUAAUAAAGUAUCCUCAGAGGAAUGAGAAGGGAAAAAAAAUACGUUGUGGACCCCUUAGUCCUAUACAAUAACUGCUUGGUCACUUGGAUAUUUAGCAGCAUUAAUGAAAUGGAGCCUCAAUUACAUCCUCAAGAGCAAGGAAAUAAUAUCGGUCCGUCUCCCUUCCCUCCCCACACAAUUUGCAGAUGGGGUAAAGGUAGCGCAGCAAGGAGGGGGCUGAUGAUUUCUCAUAUGAUGAGAUGGCAUGUAUUUCCCCUUCUCUCUCUUCCCCUCCGCCUGUCCCAAAUGCCUGAAAAUGUCACUUUUUGUCUGAGUAUCUUUCAAUACACUGACGUAGAGCAUCUGGAAAAAACAAAGUUUUUGAUCUGAAGUAAUAGUCUCUGAGAAUUCAUCGAAUAUAACAUUUCUUUUUCUUUCCAAACUUUUUUUUUCUGUAUCAGAUUCCCAAAUUGUUAAUCUUUCAACUACUAUAUGACUCUAUUAUGACUCUGUCCAGUGAUUAACGUGGGCUUAAUAACUUUGUCUGGUGAACGUUGGUGUAAAGGAGUGACUGCUGCUGACUGCGUCCCUAUUAAUGAUGCAUUUUGAUUGGUUUGGAGAGCAAUUCAUUGUUUGCUUCACCUACUCAGAAACAGCUUUUCUGUGAAAAGACAGAGUAAGACUGUAUUUUUAGGAACAAUCUGUUUUCUGUCUGUAAUUAAUCUGUUCCGGAUUGUUUGGCUACUUUGGUCGGUGUAUCACAAACUAGACUAUUAUGCUCAAAGUUACUUUUGGGACAUUCAGUAACAGCUGCUUUUGAAAGCACCAAGAGCAACCCCUGUAAAUCACUGUGGUUUUGAGUAACUAUCUAGCUUUGCUCGAACCAUGCCAGGUUUCUGUAACAAGCUGAUGAGCUAUCACAGGGUAAAAAAACGUAUCCUUGAUUCACACCUCUCUGGUGUAAAUCCUGUUCCAAUUUUCAAAACACCUUGCUAUAACAGUGUUGGACAGAGGAAUUCUUGAGGCUAAGUGACAUUUACAGCCUAUGAUACUAGUGUAUCUGCACUGUGUAUCCAUCAACAUUUGGCAUUUAAGAAAAUCUGCUCAUCCUUGCAUCGCCUGUUAAACACUCACUCUAUUAGAAAAAAAGAAAAGAAAAUCAUCCUCUUCACAUUUGAAUUUUUAAUGGGCAAAAAGGGGGUCAGUUUGACUGCAAUGGCAUGAAAUCAGCCCCAAAUGACCUCAGGCAAUUGUACACCUGGAAGCAAAAGGUGGGUUAAAGUGACAUUUUUUGUGUGUGUCCACAAGUCAAUGCUGGAAUAACUUGCACUCUUCAGCGUGCGCAGCUGUAUUAUCCCGGGGCAGGUUUUGGCACGGUGUGACUACACAUCUGUCAGAUCGCUUGGACAUCCAUAGGCAAAAUGUAGCACUCGGGAACAUCGUGUGGAUUUGGGAUGUUUCCUGCAGGACCUGGGAAGUGCAGAAGGACGAUGGGAUCGCGUUCUCACCGCAGCCAGCGCUCCUCGCUGCCCAUCACCCUCUGCACGCUGAGGAACAGGACAAAAGCACUUCUGUCCACAGGUGAUUUUAGACUCUGCUUCAAAACUUCAUUCUUAAGUCAAAAACACUUUUUUGUUGUUUUUUUUUUUUUUAGUUCGAUGCAUUCUUAAUUUAAAACUGCUUGUGCGAUCUCUCUGGUUUAUUCCAAAUAACAGUCCCCAGGGGGUGUUUGAAUUCAUGUUAAGGACAUACAGGUUUGUCUGACUUGGUUUGUUUUUUGGGAACGUAAGCUGAGCAUUCAACUAUGAUUGCUGAAAGCUAAUCUAGGGCUUUGGCCAUGGGUCAGGUUCCUUUUUUUUCCCCUUCUACUUCCUAUGUUGCUUCAGCCAUUUCUAUGUCAUCUUUUCUUCCUGGGCUAUCAUGCUGUAGUGGUUCAGCUCCUUAUUUUAUUAUGUCCUCAAAACUGAUGGCAUUUCCAAGGUGAUCUGCUUUGUGGCUUCUUCUCCAGAGCUCUUCAUACCCUCUCUGUGCUUUGCCAUGGCCUGGGCUGGAGCUGGAGCCCUGAAACCAGGUGGUUCCUGCACCUGCCUCUGCCACUUGCAUCCGAGAUCGCUGCCACAUCUUUUAAUGCAUAAUACAUUUUGGGAUGCAGUUUGUGUGCUACUCUGUAAAUUACGGUUGUAUUGUUCAUACAGCAAAUAAAUUUUUAAUUCAUAACCCUGGGACAAGUGAAAUGAGCACAAUUUUUCUUUAAUUUUUGUAAAGCGAGGGUGAAUGCAGCAGAGUGGAAAAGGUUUUUCUUCUUCACAGAGUCGCGUUGCAGCGUUGGGGGCUGAGUCGUGCGUGUUGGUGGAACGAGAUGCAAGGCAGAUGCGCUCGCUUUGAUCAGUUUUGGGGGGGGUUUGUGCGGUGGUGUAGCUCACAGUGGAGCUGGCACAGCUUCCAGGCCUGGGGUUAAGUUGCUCAGUUUGGUUCAAUUGGUAAUUAAUAAAAGCAAUGGCCAAUUUGACUUUAUACCAUGUGUCUGCCUGUGUGGAACCUGGCACACACAAACCCUGUUUCUACCGAGCAAGAUGGUCAGUGUAUUUAUUUUUUUGAUGUGCACAUUAUUUUUGGAACAUGUGAAGUUUUGAUCAAGGGGAAGAAGCCUCCUGAAAUAAGUUUAAAAUAGUCGUUAAACGUGACUUUCAAAACGUUUAUUAAGUUCUGGUAUAGAUGCGUCUCCUGUAGCUUCCAGAUUUUGAGUAGACAGGUCCAUCAGAGCUUCAGGACAACAUCUCAGCAGUUGGGUUGUCUCGUAAACCCAGGAGGGGCCAUCACCAAUUUGGUGCAAGACUUUCCACCCCCCACAACCCCUCCAAAGAGGAACAUCUGCUCCUUAGCAUGCUGCUCAUUUCCAUGGCAGGACUCCAGUCGCUCUUCCAACACGGAGCUCGGCAAUAGUAGCGCUGGUGUCUGAGCUCUGGAACAAACCAAGUGUUUUGCGGGUGCUUUUGUGUGCCAUGAGUUAUUUCUACUGUGCGCUUAUUGAUAAUAAUGGGCAUUCAUUAUGAUGAGAGAGCCUUUUUGCUCAGGAAUCAUCACAGUGCAUGCUGUAAAUGCAUCGUGACAAUAGUUUGCGUUUGUAUAUUAUGGAGUUGUAAUAUGUAUUUAUUUAUGUUUAUAAAACCGUAAUACCAAAUGCAUACUAAAAAAAAAAAACAACCAACAAACCAACCAACCCUUAGGAAAUUGCAUGAACAGUAGUUCCAUUUAAAAUAUCAUAUCUUGGCCAAUUUUGUUAUGUCCAAAUAUCCUAGUCACAUUGUAGACUAACAGCCUGCCAAAUUUCGCUUAAAAGCACAGCCAAUUUUUAAGUUACAGAAGCACAAAGAGCAGUGGAAUGUUCUUUUUUAGGACUCCUCUAACUUAAACAAAAAUUAUAAGGUUUUUAUUGUUUUGCU